rnacentral:tRNA from 1 species
UCCCUGGUGGUCUAGUGGUUAGGAUUUGGUGCUUUCACUGCCAUGGCCAGGAGUUCAAUCCCUGCUGGGGGA